GGAGGGGUAUCGAAGUGGUCAUAACGAGGCGGUCUUGAAAACCGUUUGGGUGCAAGCCCACAAGGGUUCGAAUCCCUUCCCCUCCGCCA
rnacentral:tRNA from 1 species